UUAGAGUUUGAUCCUGGCUCAGGACGAACGCUGGCGGCGCGCCUAACACAUGCAAGUCGAACGGAGCUUAGAGAGCUUGCUUUUUAAGCUUAGUGGCGAACGGGUGAGUAACGCGUGAGUAACCUGCCCUAGAGUGGGGGACAACAGUUGGAAACGACUGCUAAUACCGCAUAAGCCCACGGUACCGCAUGAUACUGAGGGAAAAGGAUUUAUUCGCUUUAGGAUGGACUCGCGUCCAAUUAGCUAGUUGGUGAGGUAACGGCCCACCAAGGCGACGAUUGGUAGCCGGACUGAGAGGUUGAACGGCCACAUUGGGACUGAGACACGGCCCAGACUCCUACGGGAGGCAGCAGUGGGGGAUAUUGCACAAUGGGGGAAACCCUGAUGCAGCGACGCCGCGUGGAGGAAGAAGGUUUUCGGAUUGUAAACUCCUGUCGUUAGGGACGAUAAUGACGGUACCUAACAAGAAAGCACCGGCUAACUACGUGCCAGCAGCCGCGGUAAAACGUAGGGUGCAAGCGUUGUCCGGAAUUACUGGGUGUAAAGGGAGCGCAGGCGGGAAGGCAAGUUGGAAGUGAAAACCAUGGGCUCAACCCAUGAAUUGCUUUCAAAACUGUUUUUCUUGAGUAGUGCAGAGGUAGAUGGAAUUCCCGGUGUAGCGGUGGAAUGCGUAGAUAUCGGGAGGAACACCAGUGGCGAAGGCGGUCUACUGGGCACCAACUGACGCUGAGGCUCGAAAGCAUGGGUAGCAAACAGGAUUAGAUACCCUGGUAGUCCAUGCCGUAAACGAUGAUUACUAGGUGUUGGGGGAUUGACCCCCUCAGUGCCGCAGUUAACACAAUAAGUAAUCCACCUGGGGAGUACGACCGCAAGGUUGAAACUCAAAGGAAUUGACGGGGGCCCGCACAAGCAGUGGAGUAUGUGGUUUAAUUCGAAGCAACGCGAAGAACCUUACCAGGUCUUGACAUCCUUUUGACCGAUGCCUAAUCGCAUUUUUCCCUUCGGGGACAGAAGUGACAGGUGGUGCAUGGUUGUCGUCAGCUCGUGUCGUGAGAUGUUGGGUUAAGUCCCGCAACGAGCGCAACCCUUGCCUUUAGUUGCCAUCAUUAAGUUGGGCACUCUAGAGGGACUGCCAGGGAUAACCUGGAGGAAGGUGGGGAUGACGUCAAAUCAUCAUGCCCCUUAUGCUUAGGGCUACACACGUGCUACAAUGGGUGGUACAGAGGGCAGCAAAGUCGUGAGGCCAAGCUAAUCCCUUAAAGCCAUUCUCAGUUCGGAUUGUAGGCUGAAACUCGCCUACAUGAAGCUGGAGUUACUAGUAAUCGCAGAUCAGAAUGCUGCGGUGAAUGCGUUCCCGGGUCUUGUACUCACCGCCCGUCA
rnacentral:rRNA from 1 species